UACGGAGGGUGCAAGCGUUGUCCGGAAUCACUGGGCGUAAAGGGCGCGUAGGCGGCCCGGUAAGUAGGGGGUGAAAUCCUGCGGCUUAACCGCAGGGCUGCCUUCUAAACUGUCGGGCUCGAGCACGGUAGAGGCAGAUGGAAUUCCCGGUGUAGCGGUGGAAUGCGUAGAGAUCGGGAAGAACAUCAGUGGCGAAGGCGGCCUUCUGGGUCCGCCCUGACGCUGAGGCGCGAAAGCGUGGGGAGCGAACGGG
rnacentral:rRNA from 1 species